AGGAUGAACGCCAAUUUCCAAGAUGGCGGCGGAGGGAGGAGGGAAGGAGAUGAACGAAAUUAAAACUCAAUUCACCACCAGAGAAGGCGUCUACAAACUCCUCACUCACUCCGAAUACAGCCGGCCGAACAGGGUGCCUUUUAACUCGCAGGGCUCGAACCCCGUCAAGGUCUCCUUCGUCAAUGUGAACGACCAGUCCGGCAACGGCGACAGGAUCUGUUUCAAUGUGGGCCGGGAACUCUACUUUUAUAUCUACAAAGGCGUGAGAAAGGCUGCCGAUCUCAGCAAGCCCAUAGACAAGAGGAUAUACAAAGGAACGCAGCCCACGUGUCAUGACUUCAACCCCCUCACAGCUACUGCAGAGAGCGUCUCCCUGCUCGUGGGCUUCUCAGCGGGUCAGGUGCAGCUCAUCGACCCAAUCAAGAAGGAAACCAGCAAACUCUUCAAUGAAGAGAGGCUCAUAGACAAGUCCCGAGUUACAUGUGUGCGAUGGGUUCCUGGUUCAGAAAGCCUGUUCUUGGUGGCUCACUCCAGCGGCAGCAUGUAUUUGUACAACGUGGAGAACACCUGUGGCACCACGGCACCUCACUACCAGCUCCUGAAGCAGGGUGAGAACUAUGCUGUACAUACGUGCAAGAGCAAGUCGGCCCGCAACCCCCUACUGCGCUGGACUGUUGGCGAAGGAGCACUCAAUGAGUUCGCCUUCUCUCCUGACGGGAAGUUUCUGGCUUGUGCAAGCCAGGACGGCUUCCUGCGGGUGUUUGGCUUUGAUGCCGCAGAGCUCCACGGGACGAUGAAGAGCUACUUUGGUGGCUUACUGUGCGUGUGCUGGAGCCCAGAUGGACGAUACAUUGUAGCGGGAGGGGAGGACGACCUGGUGACGGUGUGGUCGUUUUCAGACUGUAGGGUAAUUGCACGGGGGCACGGUCACAAGUCAUGGGUGAGUGUGGUGGCUUUUGACCACUGCACUACCAGUGUGGAGGAUGGUGACCCCCCAGCUGAGUUCAGCGGUAGUGACGAAGACUUCCAUGAGCAGAUUCACUUUGGUGCAGGCAGAGACAGGGCGAACAGUGCUCACUCUCGCCUUUCUAAGAGGAACUCUACGGACAGUCGGCCUGUUAGUGUGACGUACAGGUUUGGCUCAGUGGGUCAGGACACCCAGCUGUGUCUGUGGGACCUAACAGAGGACAUUCUCUUCCCUCACCUCCCUUUGUCCCGUACCAGGACUCACACUAAUGUUAUGAAUGCCACAAGCCCCCCAACCACUGGACAGACUACUACUACUACUAGUACUACUACUACUACGACGACUACUGUAUCCACUGCUAACCCUAGUGGCACCAAUGGUAAAGACAAUGUGAGCAAUAGCAGCACCAGUGCUAACCCCGCUAACUCCCUCCCGGGCUCUCUUCCCCGGUCCAAUAGCUUGCCCCAGGCCACCAACCCACCCGGGGGCAGCACGCCUAACAGCCACACGGGCAGCAGCACCAACAGCAGCGGCAGCACCAAGGGCAACAGCAUCAUCGACAGCGCGUUCAUCGCCACAGGUGUCAGCAAGUUUGCCACCCUGUCGCUACACGACUCACGCAAGGAGCGCCACGAGAAGGACCACAAACGGAACCACAGCAUGGGGCACAUCAGCAGCAAGAGCAGCGACAAGCUCAACCAGCUCAGCUCAUCCAGGACGGCAAAAGCAGAAGUAGCAAAGACUCUUGGCACGACACUGUGUCCGCGUAUGGAGGAAGUGCCGCUGCUGGAGCCGCUGGUGUGCAAGAAGAUCGCUCAUGAGAGACUCACUGUGUUAAUCUUCCUUGAGGACUGUCUGGUAACAGCCUGUCAGGAGGGUUUCGUUUGCACAUGGGCUAGGCCCGGGAAAGUGGUGAGUGACAGGCCUCUCGAGGAUACUGUCAUGUGACACCUCUUAACGUCCAUUGUCUUGCGUACAGCCAUUUUUCUCUCUGCAUUCAGAAGCUGUAAGCGCCACUGUGUGCAGCCAAAGGUUUUGGUUAUUUCACGUCUGAUUUAAACCAAAGCCUGAGCAUUUUGAUGGUUAAUAGCACAUCUUCUGCGACAGGAUUGCUAUCAUCUCAAAACAACCCCGCCAACUCCCCAAGUGGAACAGUAGUAUAGCCCCAGUGCAGGUGCUGCUAAUGACAGCUCCAUGCAUCAGAGACGGGGGGAUGACCAAGGCCACGGCCCUGCAGCGCUUCUUCACACACUGUCACACAUCACAUGACCUCCAGUGUCAGCUUCACUCUCAUCACUACGAACAUCCAGACGCUCUCUUUGUCUUACUGCUUAUGAUUAGAUAACAGAUGUUGGCCAAGCCAGGGUUAGAAGCUGAACUCCCUUUUUCUGCUGUUGGAAGUCGGAGUGUGAGCUUUAAAAUCGUCCAGGUUUUUCAGAGGGGUUGAUUGGCUUGUUCUUCCAUCUGUGGUCAUAUCAAGUGACAUCUAGUCUGAAAAUAACAAACUCAAAACCCAAUCCUUUGUGCCUGUAGAUCAUAUAAGACUAGAUUUGUGGUAAGCAGUGUGGUGAUGUCUCCAUCUAACCUUUUCAAGGGUUUAAUUCUGACAUGUUUCCCAUGUUAUGUUUCUUCAAACAUGUACCACAAAAAGGGAAAAAGAUUGUUUUGGAGCAGCAGCACACCCCCCAAUGCCAAGUCUCUCAUCUGUCACUACCUAGGUGAUCCCUAAUCACGAGCUCUAGAGACUGGAGCCUUUUUCUUCCUUCAUAUAUAUUUGAAUUUGAGGUAUCACACUUUAUAGUGUAUUUGCACAGAUUUUUUUUCUUUUUUACUUUUUCCCUUUUUUGGAAUUGAUGACGGUGGAUCCCAAGCAAAAUAUUUUGAGGACAGACUUCAGAAGCACUUGGGGGAUCGGCUGGUUAUCGCCCUCUGUCUCAACGCUGGAUGCUGCAAUCAUAAUAGUUUUUUUAUAUGGAAAAAAUGUUUGCACUUAAUAGUUUGUUAGAGGAGAAUGGCUUUACAUUUUUGGAGUGUGUAAGGACUCCUUGACAAGGUUGAAAUAUUAAUAGAAUUUAAAAAGAAAAACCUUUGUAUCUAUUAAACAUUUAUUUUAAUAUUGUUUCAGAUUAAAUGGGCUCUGUAUUAUAUGUAAAUAUUGUACUUCAAUGAUUUAUGGGUGAAAUGAUCAUUAUUUCAUUAGUUCAAAGAUCCUCAUUUCAGAAAAUAGUGAUAUUUCUACUACAGAAAAUCUAUACAUAAUAUUAAAAUGAAUCUUGAAUAUGCAGGUGAAACUGUUUUUUUCCUGUUGUACAUAAAGAGAAUUCAGGUGUAUUUUUAUUAAUGAAACGUUUGGUAUAGGAGAUGUCUAUGAAAUCCUCUUAUCUAACAGGUAGUGCUGAAUGCUAGCUAGCCUGUCGCUGCAAAUUCAUUUUUGACGUAGGCAGGUAGGCGUAGACGCAGCGGUCUAAUUCAGCCAUCACUCCGAGCUCAGGUAAACCCCAGGAAGACUAACGCUGGUAUAGUUCCCCUCUCUAUAGUCUCAUCCAUCAACGUUUGUGAAUUCACUCUGACUAACAAAAUAAGACUGACGACCAUGUUCUGAGGACAGGGCUGACCAUGCAAGCCCUGUUGAUUUGUGAGUAAUAAUUACUGAACUGAUGCUCAACUUGUGAACAAACAUUUGACACUGUGUUGAAUACCAACUGACUCACGUCAGCACUUGAUGAUGGAGUAAAUGCUUGAGGUGAGCGUGUUUUUACAAGCACCCACAAACAGGAUGACUGAGGAUUUUAACAGUGGGAGCCUUUUCCUCCAUGUGACGCCUAUUAAAACAGCUUUGACAGA